rnacentral:pre_miRNA from 1 species
AGGGGGAGGCUGUAUCGUGAGCUGUGUCCCCAGCGCCCUGUGCUCCGGGCUGCGCUGUUGUAUUCGCGCUCCCAGCCGCACAGCCCCCU